GACGAACGCUGGCGGCGUGCUUAACACAUGCAAGUCGAACGGAAAGGCCCUGCUUUUGUGGGGUGCUCGAGUGGCGAACGGGUGAGUAACACGUGAGUAACCUGCCCUUGACUUUGGGAUAACUUCAGGAAACUGGGGCUAAUACCGGAUAGGAGCUCCUGCUGCAUGGUGGGGGUUGGAAAGUUUCGGCGGUUGGGGAUGGACUCGCGGCUUAUCAGCUUGUUGGUGGGGUAGUGGCUUACCAAGGCUUUGACGGGUAGCCGGCCUGAGAGGGUGACCGGCCACAUUGGGACUGCGAUACGGCCCACACUCCUACGGGAGGCCGCAGUGGGUAAUAUUGCACAAUGGGCGGAAGCCUGAUGCAGCAACGCCGCGUGCGGGAUGAAGGCCUUCGGGUUGUAAACCGCUUUCGCCUGUGACGAAGCGUUAGUGACGGUAAUGGGUAAAGAAGCACCGGCUAACUACGUG
rnacentral:rRNA from 1 species